rnacentral:tRNA from 1 species
GGGCCUUUAGCUCAAAAAGGAAAGAGCACACCCCUGAUAAGGGUGAGGUUUCUGGUUCAACUCCAGAAUGGCUCA